rnacentral:rRNA from 1 species
ACGGGAGGCAGCAGUGGGGAAUAUUGCACAAUGGGCGGAAGCCUGAUGCAGCGAUGCCGCGUGAGGGAAGAAGGUUUUCGGAUUGUAAACCUCUGUCCUCAGGGACGAUAAUGACGGUACCUGAGGAGGAAGCUCCGGCUAACUACGUGCCAGCAGCCGCGGUAAUACGUAGGGAGCGAGCGUUGUCCGGAAUUACUGGGUGUAAAGGGUGCGUAGGCGGGACGGCAAGUCAGAUGUGAAAUGUAUGGGCUUAACCCAUAACCUGCAUUUGAAACUGUUGUUCUUGAGUGAGGUAGAGGUAAGCGGAAUUCCUAGUGUAGCGGUGAAAUGCGUAGAUAUUAGGAGGAACAUCGGUGGCGAAGGCGGCUUACUGGGCCUUUACUGACGCUGAGGCACGAAAGCGUGGGGAGCAAACAGGAUUAGAUACCCUGGUA